AUUUUAGUAAAAGUAUCUCCCAUGCAAUAAUUGGGAUAUACUUAUACUAAAA
rnacentral:pre_miRNA from 1 species